UACGUAGGGGGCGAGCGUUGUCCGGAUUUAUUGGGCGUAAAGAGCGUGUAGGCGGUUCGGUAAGUCUGUCGUGAAAUCCUGAGGCUCAACCUUGGACGUGCGAUGGAUACUGCCGGGCUAGAGGAUGGUAGAGGCGAGUGGAAUUCCCGGUGUAGCGGUGAAAUGCGCAGAUAUCGGGAGGAACACCGAUGGCGAAGGCAGGUCUCUGGGCACUUACUGACGCUGAGGAGCGAAAGCGUGGGGAGCGAACAGG
rnacentral:rRNA from 1 species